UGAUUACCGGGGCGGUCAGGACCAACUCACUUUCCCGGCUGGUCUCUCUGUUCUUCCUGCACUAGAACCCCGGCUGGGAACCCGUGGCACCUCCACUACCCUCAUCUCCCGGCUUUUCGUGACCCGAGUUUGAACUGGCCGAGUACGAGAAACUCUUGGAUCAGGUGAAGAUCAGUGAAGAAGCCCUGAGAGCAGAUGGCUUUGGAGAGAAUCCUUUCUAUCACUGUUUGGUAGCAGAGAUUCUUCCAGCACCUGGGGAAUUACAGG